rnacentral:sRNA from 1 species
CUAUAACCCCGGUAGGAGUGGCAUCCUUUGCUUUUUUGAUUAAAAAAAAAGCAAAGAUAUAGCGGAUAACGGGACGAUGU